rnacentral:rRNA from 1 species
AUACGGAGGGUGCAAGCGUUAUUCGGAAUCACUGGGCGUAAGGGACGCGUAGGCGGGUUGGCAAGUCAGAUGUGAAAUCCUACAGCUUAACUGUAGAACUGCAUUUGAAACUGCUAACCUAGAGUAUGGGAGGGGGAGAUGGAAUUAGUGGUGUAGGGGUAAAAUCCGUAGAUAUCACUAGGAAUACCGAAAGCGAAGGCGAUCUCCUGGAACAUAACUGACGCUAAGGCGUGAAAGCGUGGGGAGCAAACAGGAUUAGAAACCCUAGUAGUUCC